rnacentral:rRNA from 1 species
AUGAACGCUGGCUGCGUGCCUAAUACCUGCAAGUCGCGCGAACAGACGAGGAGCUUGCUCCUCUGACGUUAGCGGCGGACGGGUGAGUAACACGUGGAUAACCUACCUAUAAGACUGGGAUAACUUCGGGAAACCGGAGCUAAUACCGGAUAAUAUAUUGAACCGCAUGGUUCAAUAGUGAAAGACGGUUUUGCUGUCACUUAUAGAUGGAUCCGCGCCGCAUUAGCUAGUUGGUAAGGUAACGGCUUACCAAGGCAACGAUGCGUAGCCGACCUGAGAGGGUGAUCGGCCACACUGGAACUGAGACACGGUCCAGACUCCUACGGGAGGCAGCAGUAGGGAAUCUUCCGCAAUGGGCGAAAGCCUGACGGAGCAACGCCGCGUGAGUGAUGAAGGUCUUCGGAUCGUAAAACUCUGUUAUUAGGGAAGAACAAAUGUGUAAGUAACUAUGCACGUCUUGACGGUACCUAAUCAGAAAGCCACGGCUAACUACGUG